GCUACAAACCGGGUUAUCACAUCAAUGAAAAUUGAUGAGGAAAGUCCGGACAGCAUAGAGCAACACACCGGUUAACAUCCGGUUUCAAUCCUGAGCUUGGUGAAGGAUUGAAAAGAAAGUGCCACAGAAAAUUACUGCUGUGUUUUGUGGAGACACAAACCUUGGCGAGGGUGAAAACGUGAGGUAAGAGCUCACGAAAAGUAUUGGCAACAAUAUUUUUGGGUAAACCUUGUGUGCUGUAAUGCCACGUAUAUCAGCGUUUGAGGGCUGCUCGUCCGAUGCUGAAGGGUAGGCAGCAAGACUGUAACAGUAAUGUUGCGGCAAGAUAAAUGAUAACCAUCCAAUCCCGAUAGUAUCGGGAGCGGUUACAGAAUCCGGCUUACAGGUUUGUAGUUACU
rnacentral:RNase_P_RNA from 1 species